UUUCCUCAGUUCUGGUAUUUCUGUGUGCUGGAACCGAGAAUUUAAAAUCAGAUUCCACUUUUGACCAACAGGCUCCAAGUAGUUGUGGUUAAAGCGUGGCUGGCUACAAAAUAAAAAUACAUUAGAUCUAGGGGAAGAAGGAAGAGUGAAAGCAUGUUCUUAUUGAAGCCUUCAUUGAAAACAUCAUCUCAGUCUUGCUGCUGCUGCACUCUUGCCUACGGAGGAGAACCUGGAUCUGAGCGGUGCUUGAAGCCUGAGUCAUCCCACCCGCCGGGGGAGGGAGGCUGAAGCUGGAUCCUGCUGAGCCUGAAAUAGGGAUGCGCCGGGAUACUGGCACAUGCUGUAAUUCACUUUAGCACAGCUCAUCAGAUGCUAAUCCAACCAUUCGGCGCUGCUGAUCGCAUCACUCUGGGACGGUGGUUUUGCAGCAUGGUCACCCCCACUUGAACUAGAUUAACUUCAGCUGGAUGACUUUAGGUAAUUGUUUAAGUGAAAAAUGAAAAAAGAAGGAAAGAAAAAGGUUCGUGCUCUUCAGAUAAAAUGGGAUUUAUUCUUCUGGAAGAGAAAGCCAACGGCUUUCUUUGACUGAGACUGUGGAAACUUGGGAUGAAUGCAAGAAGAGUUUCUGGGCUCCAUUCCGCCUGGUGGUGUCGUACAGCCUGGCAAACCACGGCCCCCUCUCUCUCCGCCAGCGCUGUGCCCCUUCACUGAUAGAGGGAUUGCUCUUCUUUAGGUUGCUUGAGCUUGACCACGUAGUAAAAGUCCACAUUAAAUAUUCCUCUGGCUCUUAAAAUUGUGGGAGAUAUACUGCUCGCUGUGUGCCACAAUAUCACGCAGUGCUCAAGGCGUUUGACGUUGGAAAAACAGCGAUAUAAAGCAAAGAGGGGAAGAUUGGAAUAACUUACAGGCAUUAAAGUACAAGUGAGUGUGGAUAAGCCGAGGUACUUACCGAUCCAUCUUCUGCUGUCUUUUCUGUAACGAUAAUGCUUAAAUGGGCUGAUUAUACAUUCUGAAAGGCAGUUGUGGAGAUGUACAAUUUCCUGCCUGACGCCGAGCGAGGGACCUGACCUGUUUAGAUCUCUGAAGGGAAUCAAGAAAACCUGCGCUCUAACGUGUUGUCUCCCGGCACCGCGGGGCAGGCAGGCGCGCAAACAUCGCUCCUGACUUCAGCCCUUCCCCUAAGUCUCGGCGGCACCGGGAGACCUCGGGCCACCGCAUGGGACCAGACUGCCCGCCCCACCGCUCAACUCCACCAUCUCCCGGGGCAGGGAGCUCUGCGGGGCCAAACCUCUCUGCCCAGAGACCUCCCCAAAGUUCAUUGGGUCCUGCCCGGGCUCCUCCGUCUGCCGCAGGUGGGUCAUGGGGAAACGCCGAUGGCUCCGGCAGCUUGUGGUUUAGAUUA